rnacentral:rRNA from 1 species
UACGGGGGGGGUAAGCGUUGUUCGGAAUUACUGGGCGUAAAGGGCUCGUAGGCGGCCAACUAAGUCAUACGUGAAAUCCCUCAGCUUAACUGGGGAACUGCGUGUGAUACUGGAUGGCUUGGAUUUGGGAGAGGGAUGCGGAAUUCCAGGUGUAGCGGUGAAAUGCGUAGAUAUCUGGAGGAACACCGGUGGCGAAGGCGGCAUCCUGGACCGACACUGACGCUGAGGAGCGAAAGCCAGGGAGCAAGCGGG